rnacentral:tRNA from 1 species
GCCUCGGUAACUCAGUCUGGUUAGAGUGCCAGUUUCGUAAACUGGAAGUCGAGGGUUCGAAUCCCUCUCGAGGCU